rnacentral:rRNA from 1 species
UUAGGAAUUUUGGGCAAUGGGCGAAAGCCUGACCCAGCAACGCCGCGUGGGUGAUGAAGGCCCUCGGGUCGUAAAGCCCUUUUCCCAGGGAAGAUGAUGACGGUACCUGGGGAAUCAGCCCCGGCUAACUACGUGCCAGCAGCCGCGGUAAUACGUAGGGGGCGAGCGUUGUCCGGAUUUAUUGGGCGUAAAGCGCUCGCAGGUGGUCCGUCGCGUCGUGCGUGAAAGGCCCCGGCUCAACCGGGGAGGGUCGUGCGAUACGGGCGGACUGGAGGCCAGUAGGGGGAUGCGGAAUUCCGGGUGUAGUGGUGGAAUGCGUAGAGAUCCGGAGGAACACCAGCGGCGAAGGCGGCAUCCUGGACUGGUCCUGACACUCAGGAGCGAAAGCGUGGGGAGCGAUCCGG